rnacentral:rRNA from 1 species
UACGUAGGGUGCAAGCGUUGUCCGGAAUUAUUGGGCGUAAAGCGCGCGCAGGUGGUUUCUUAAGUCUGAUGUGAAAGCCCACGGCUCAACCGUGGAGGGUCAUUGGAAACUGGGGAACUUGAGUGCAGGAGAGAAGAGUGGAAUUCCACGUGUAGCGGUGAAAUGCGUAGAGAUGUGGAGGAACACCAGUGGCGAAGGCGACUCUUUGGCCUGUAACUGACACUGAGGCGCGAAAGCGUGGGAGCAAACAGG